UACGGGGGGGGCAAGCGUUGUUCGGAAUUACUGGGCGUAAAGGGCGCGUAGGCGGUUCGCCAAGUUGGACGUGAAAACUCUGGGCUUAACCCAGAGCCUGCAUCCAAAACUGGCAGGCUAGAGUAUUGGAGGGGGAAGCGGAAUUCCUGGUGUAGCAGUGAAAUGCGUAGAUAUCAGGAGGAACACCGGUGGCGAAGGCGGCUUCCUGGACAAUAACUGACGCUGAGGAGCGAAAGCGUGGGGAGCGAACAGG
rnacentral:rRNA from 1 species